UACGGAGGGUGCAAGCGUUGCUCGGAAUCAUUGGGCGUAAAGCGUACGCAGGCUGUUCGUUAAGUCGGGUGUGAAAGCCCGGGGCUCAACCCCGGAACUGCGCCCGAAACUGGCGAGCUUGAGUGCGGGAGAGGGAAGCGGAAUUCCUGGUGUAGAGGUGAAAUUCGUAGAUAUCAGGAGGAACACCGGUGGCGAAAGCGGCUUCCUGGCCCGACACUGACGCUCAUGUACGAAAGCGUGGGGAGCAAAAGGG
rnacentral:rRNA from 1 species